GACGUAGGGCGCGAGCGUUGUCCGGAUUUAUUGGGCGUAAAGAGCUCGUAGGCGGCUUGUCGCGUCGUUCGUGAAAACCUGCGGCUCAACUGCAGGCUUGCGGUCGAUACGGGCAGGCUGGAGUUCGGUAGGGGAGACUGGAAUUCCUGGUGUAGCGGUGAAAUGCGCAGAUAUCAGGAGGAACACCGGUGGCGAAGGCGGGUCUCUGGGCCGAUAUUGACGCUGAGGAGCGAAAGCGUGGGGAGCGAACAGG
rnacentral:rRNA from 1 species